GACGAACGCUGGCGGCGUGCCUAACACAUGCAAGUCGAGCGAGUGGAUCUCCUUCGGGAGUGAAGCUAGCGGCGGACGGGUGAGUAACACGUGGGCAACCUGCCUCAUAGAGGGGAAUAGCCUUUCGAAAGGAAGAUUAAUACCGCAUAAGAUUGUAGCUUCGCAUGAAGUAGCAAUUAAAGGAGCAAUCCGCUAUGAGAUGGGCCCGCGGCGCAUUAGCUAGUUGGUGAGGUAACGGCUCACCAAGGCGACGAUGCGUAGCCGACCUGAGAGGGUGAUCGGCCACAUUGGGACUGAGACACGGCCCAGACUCCUACGGGAGGCAGCAGUGGGGAAUAUUGCACAAUGGGGGAAACCCUGAUGCAGCAACGCCGCGUGAGUGAUGACGGCCUCGGGUUGUAAGCUCUGUCUUCAGGGACGAUAAUGACAGUACCUGAGGAGGAAGCCACGGCUAACUACGUGCCAGCAGCCGAAC
rnacentral:rRNA from 1 species